CCCUUGGAGGCGUGGCUUCCGGAGCUAACGCGUUAAGUCGACCGCCUGGGGAGUACGGCCGCAAGGUUAAAACUCAAAUGAAUUGACGGGGGCCCGCACAAGCGGUGGAGCAUGUGGUUUAAUUCGAUGCAACGCGAAGAACCUUACCUGGCCUUGACAUCCAGAGAACUUAGCAGAGAUGCUUUGGUGCCUUCGGGAACUCUGAGACAGGUGCUGCAUGGCUGUCGUCAGCUCGUGUUGUGAAAUGUUGGGUUAAGUCCCGCAACGAGCGCAACCCUUAUCCUUUGUUGCCAGCGGUUCGGCCGGGAACUCAAAGGAGACUGCCGGUGAUAAACCGGAGGAAGGUGGGGAUGACGUCAAGUCAUCAUGGCCCUUACGGCCAGGGCUACACACGUGCUACAAUGGCGCAUACAAAGAGAAGCGACCUCGCGAGAGCAAGCGGACCUCAUAAAGUGCGUCGUAGUCCGGAUUGGAGUCUGCAACUCGACUCCAUGAAGUCGGAAUCGCUAGUAAUCGUAGAUCAGAAUGCUACGGUGAAUACGUUCCCGGGCCUUGUACACACCGCCCGUCACACCAUGGGAGUGGGUUGCAAAAGAAGUAGGUAGCUUAACCUUCGGGAGGGCGCUUACCACUUUGUGAUUCAUGACUGGGGUGAAGUCGUAACA
rnacentral:rRNA from 1 species